GGAUGUGAGGGUGAUCUGGCUGCAGCAUCUGUCACCCCAUUGAUCGCCAGGGUUGAUUCGGUUGAUCUGGCUGGCUAGACAGGUGUCCCCUUCCUCCUUCAAUGCUCCACGUGUGUUUCUCCUGAAGCUGCUCACUUGGUUGAAGAGGACUACCUUCCCCGAUAGAGGAGGACCUGUCUUCGGUCAAGGGUAUGCGAGUAGCUGCGCUCCCCUGCUAGAACCUCCAAACAAGCUAUCAAGUCUUAUCAGGGUAAAAAGAAAAUGUUACAAAGAACAUUAUGACCAAACUUUGACAAGUGCACAAAUUCCUUG
rnacentral:snRNA from 1 species